AUUGAACGCUGGCGGCAUGCCUAACACAUGCAAGUCGAACGGGGCAGCAAUGCCUAGUGGCGGACGGGUGAGGAAUACGUAGGAAUCUGCCCUUAAGUGGGGGAUAACCAGGGGAAACCCUGACUAAUACCGCAUGAUUUCUUCGGAGCAAUGAGGGGGACCGGAAGGCCUCUCGCUUCUGGAUGAGCGUACGUGGGGUUAGCUAGUUGGUGGGGUAAAGACCUACCAAUGAGACGAUCAGUAACUGGUCUGAGAGGAUGAUCAGUCACACCGGAGCUGGAUGCCGAUCCGUGACCGCAAGGGAGGCAGCAGGGGGGAAUUUUGGACAAUGGGCGACAGCCUGAACCAGCAAUGCCGCGUGUGUGAAGAAGGCCUUCGGGUUGUAAAGCACUUUAGCCUGGAAAGAAAAAACUUUGGUUAACACCCAAAGUCUUGACGGUACCAGGAGAAUAAGCACCAGCUAACUCUGUGCCAGCAGCCGCCGUAAGAC
rnacentral:rRNA from 1 species